rnacentral:lncRNA from 1 species
UGAGGUUGUCUGGAAACGCUACUUGUGAGUUACUUAUUUGCAGAUUGUAAAGUAUCUCCACUCCCCAAAGGAGGGUUUGGGGAUAUUCCCUGCUCAAAAAAGUCCUGGAAAAUUGACUAGUGUUGUGAGUAAUAAAUUGGAAUUCAUUGAAGACAGACGAUCCUGUGGAGGUCACCCAGCUAAUGUAAGUAUGGAGAUGUAUCAUUUGCCUUUUUUUUUUCUUUUAAAGAGUAGAUAUUUCUAUAAUUUAAAUUAUAAUUAUUUAGAAUAUUAAGGUUAUCUGCAUAAUUUUCAGAAGCACAAGUCAAGCAUUUUAUGCUUUUCAGAAAAAUGAG